UUUGAGAGUGGAAAAAAGAUGAAAAGAGAUUAAAAAAAUAUUCGGGCUUAAGUGAAAGGCGUGUCGACAGAAAUAGUAUCUAUAAGGUUUUAUUUGAAUGUCAGAAUAAAAUGUUGAAAGAUAACUCAUUCCACAUUUUUUUAUUUUAUUUUAUUUUAAUUUUUGUUUCAAUGGAAGCUAAUAGUUUGAUUUUUACUCUUUGAAAGAUCUUGGCAUUUAUGAUUUGGUAGAGAAUAUAUUUCAACAAUGAGGUGAUUAAUCUUAUUGUGAAAAAAUUAUACUGGAAGCUAAAUAUAUAUAAUAUCAAUUAUAGACAUUU
rnacentral:lncRNA from 1 species